rnacentral:sRNA from 1 species
AAUUGAAGGCGGUUGAUGGUGAAGCCAUUCUGAGUUUAUGUGUUGACUCCGGUUUAAGUGACACUUCUCCAGAUGAAGGGUUAAUAGAGGACUUGACUAUAGAAGACAAAGCUGUGGAGCAACUGGCAGAAGGAUUGCUUUCUCAUUAUUUGCCAGAUCUGCAGAGAUCAAAACAAGCCCUCCAGGAACUCACUUUGCUGAGGCUAAACACUAUCAUGCCAAGUUGGUGAAUAUAAGAAAAGAGAUGCUGAUGCUUCAUGAAAAAACAUCAAAGUUAAAAAAAAGAGCACUUAAACUGCAGCAGAAGAGGCAAAAAGAAGAGUUGGAAAGGGAGCAGCAACGAGAGAAGGAGUUUGAAAGAGAAAAGCAGUUAACUGCCAGACCAGCCAAAAGGAUGUGAAAAGUUGUGUUUGUGUGUUUUCUUCUCCUGUCCCAUAUUUGGGUUAUGAUGACUCAAGUGUAGACUGAAGUUGAGGUAGUGCCUUACGCCAUUAUGUCAUAUGUUGAAAUCCUUAUUCCGGUAUUACUGUGUCUCCAUGCCUUUUUUCCAAGUAGCAGACGUCAUGUUGCUUGGUUUUUGA